CACCUAACAGCUAGCCCCCACCCCACCCACAACAAACCACUAUAAAUACCCCCUAAGAUACUUAACUAAACAAAACAAAUCAUUUUACCACCCUAGUAUAGGAGAUAGAAAAG
rnacentral:rRNA from 1 species